rnacentral:rRNA from 1 species
UACGUAGGGUGCAAGCGUUAAUCGGAAUUACUGGGCGUAAAGCGUGCGCAGGCGGUUGUGCAAGACAGAUGUGAAAUCCCCGGGCUCAACCUGGGAAUUGCAUUUGUGACUGCACGGCUAGAGUGUGGCAGAGGGGGGUAGAAUUCCACGUGUAGCAGUGAAAUGCGUAGAGAUGUGGAGGAAUACCGAUGGCGAAGGCAGCCCCCUGGGAUAACACUGACGCUCAUGCACGAAAGCGUGGGGAGCAAACAGG